GCCAGGCGUGGUGGUGGGCGCCUGUAGUCCCAGCUACUUGGGAGGCUGAGGCAGGAGAAUCACUUGAACCUGGGAGGCAGAGGUUGCAGUGAGCUGAGAUCAUGCCACUGCACUCUAGCCUGGGCAACAGAGUGAGACUCUGUCUCAA
rnacentral:SRP_RNA from 1 species